rnacentral:lncRNA from 12 species
CCCUGGGAAAGUCGUGGCGCCGGGAACCUCGCGGGUCGGGGCUGGGACUUCAGGGCGUUGGGAGGCACGGCUGCCUUUCGUUAGGUGAACUGUGCCGUCUCCUCCGGAGAGUUCCCCCUUUCUGUGUUCCCCCUUUCCUCCCCCCCUCCUCUCUCCUCAUCCCUCUUCCCAUCCCCCGUGCCUGUGUCCUCCUCCUCCUCCCCAGAAGACCUCCCUCCCAGCCCUGGUCUCCAUCCCCUCCCUCGCCCUCCUCUUUCCCCCUUUCUGUCCUCCCCACCUCGCCUCAACCCUCCCCCCUCUGCCCCUCCCCCUCUGCUCCUCCCCCUCCCCCAGCCCCCGUUCCCCUCCUUGUUUCUUCUCUCCUCCCCCUUUUCUAUCCUUGCUCCUCCUCCCCCCCCCUCCUAACACAAGUGCUGCAUGUUGGUGCAGAAAACUAAAAACCGAAAAUAACCAAAAGGAUAAAUAGAAAACUCACAGCACUCGCAAUCCGGAAAUCUUACAGGACAUGUUGGCAGUCUCACCCCCCAGCCCACCCCGCCCCCCUCCCAUUACGGGAGAGUCUUCAGGGUCACUAAAGGCCGAGGAUCCUUUGGUCAGAUCCCCUUCCCCCCUGCCCCCCGUUGUUUCUCUGAAAUCUGCCGGCUCGGGCUUCGCAGUAGCGGAGGGUCUGACGCCUCCCCGUCACCUCCUCUGCGCUGUGAGGGCUGGGGCUGGGGGACACGGUGCAGUGCAAGUCGUGGUCACUUGCAGCGAUUGAGUGGAAGCCCGAUGGCGAUGGCAAUGGCGCAGGAGGUAAAAGAAUUCACCUGAGGUAGAACAAAGAAGUUUAUUGAACCCCACACAAGGGAGUGGUGGGUGGACCAGUAGAGGAGAGACUGAGGUAGUGGGUGGGAGUUGUUUUUAAAAAGGAAAGGUGAGGAAGUAUGGGGAUGUAUGGACUCUUCCCUUUUUUGGGAACUGUGCCUAGUUGCAAGUAGCCCAUUGGUCAGUUAGGGCCUGUGGAUAUUUUGAGUUAGGUCACUGAUAGGCCUGUCUGUAUUCAGCCAGGUGGUCGCUGUGGCCCUUCCUGCAUUCCAUGGCUCAAGCCUCUUUGCCUAAAAGCGGCAUCUACAUUUAAUAGCACGGGUUAGGUGAGGGAGCUGAGAACUGAGAAAGAAUUAAAAGCAGGACACGAACAAAGAGGAGGACUUAUCUAGGUUGACAGGUGGAAGCAGCAUUCCAGUUGGACCAACGCAAGGAAGAAAGGGAGAAGAGGAGUGAACAUGAUUGACGGCUCUGAACAACACAUCCUGUGAGAAGAUGCAGGGGAGCGUAGGUCAGAAGAUUGGAAAGUGGAGAGGGCACUGGCUGGUGAUGAGACGGGACAGACCAGCGUAGGAGCUCAGCGUAGGAGCUCACUGCUCCCUCAGCAUCCGCUGUGCCUCCACACCGGGCACCUUAUCUCUGAAUUCCUCCCCCAUUUUAAUCUUUCUCCCAAGUACCAACUUCUCCUUUAGUAUCCACUGUGAUAAUUGCUGUUUUUGCUUUGGCCUUAUUUCCCAAUAAGAUCACGGAUUGCCUGAGGUCAAGGAUGAUGUCUUUAAUCGUUUAUAAUCCCCAACAGUACAUCAAAGAAUACUUUGGGUAAAUACUUUGCCCAUUCGAAUAGCAUCCAGUUGUGACCUACUGCAUGAUUUAACUUCCCUCUCACCACCAUCAGGUCCCAGCACUGAGGUCCAGAGACACACAGACUGGGCAACAACACACUAAAGCUCAGG